ACUGCUCAGUAACACGUGAGGAACGUGCCCUUGACUUCGGUAUAGCUCUUGGAAACAGGUGGUAAUCCCGAAUAUGAGCUCAGCAGGCAUCUGUUGGGUUGGAAAGCUUUAUGCGGUCAAGGAUCGUCUCGCGGCCUAUCAGCUUGUUGGUGGGGUAAUGGCCUACCAAGGCGUCGACGGGUAGCCGGCCUGAGAGGGUGACCGGCCACAUUGGGACUGAGAUACGGCCCAGACUCCUACGGGAGGCAGCAGUGGGGAAUAUUGCACAAUGGGCGAAAGCCUGAUGCAGCAACGCCGCGUGCGGGAUGACGGCCUUCGGGUUGUAAACCGCUUUCAUCCAUGACGAAGCGAAAGUGACGGUAGUGGGAGAAGAAGCACCGGCUAACUACGUGCCAGCAGCCGCGGUAAUACGAU
rnacentral:rRNA from 1 species